rnacentral:miRNA from 1 species
GGGACAUUUGUGUGUGUGUGUGUGUGUGUGUGUGUGUGUGUGUGUGUGCGCGCGUGCGUGUGCGCGCGC